UACGGAGGGGGCUAGCGUUGUUCGGAAUCACUGGGCGUAAAGGGCGCGUAGGCGGCGUUUUAAGUCGGGGGUGAAAGCCUGUGGCUCAACCACAGAAUGGCCUUCGAUACUGGGACGCUUGAGUAUGGUAGAGGUUGGUGGAACUGCGAGUGUAGAGGUGAAAUUCGUAGAUAUUCGCAAGAACACCGGUGGCGAAGGCGGCCAACUGGACCAUUACUGACGCUGAGGCGCGAAAGCGUGGGGAGCAAACAGG
rnacentral:rRNA from 1 species